rnacentral:rRNA from 1 species
AUUGAACGCUGGCGGCAUGCCUUACACAUGCAAGUCGAACGGCAGCACGGGGCAACCUGGUGGUGAGUGGCGAACGGGUGAGUAAUGCAUCGGAACGUACCUUUCAGUGGGGGAUAACGUCGCGAAAGUUACGCUAAUACCGCAUAUUCUGUGAGCAGGAAAGCAGGGGAUCGCAAGACCUUGCGCUGAUUGAGCGGCCGAUGUCAGAUUAGCAAGUUGGUGAGGUAAAGGCUCACCAAGGCGACGAUCUGGAGCGGGUCUGAAAGGAUGAUCGGCCACACUGGAACUGAGACUCGGUCCAGACUCCUACGGGAGGCAGCAGUGGGGAAUUUUGGACAAUGGGGGCAACCCUGAUCCAGCCAUGCCGGGUGAGUGAAGAAGGCCUUCGGGUUGAAAAGCUCUUCGGCCGGGAAGAAAUCGCACGGGCUAAUACCCUGUGUGGAUGACGGUACCGGAAUAAGAAGCACCGGCUAACUACGUGCCAGCCGCCGCCGUAAGAC